CGGCACAGGAUUGGGAGAUGAAAAGUUUUGUAGAAUUUUAUAGCCUCUUAUAUUCUGUUCGACCGAACAUUCAGCAGGAAGAUGAGUUGUGGUGGCAUCCUGCAGGGAAAGGGGUAUUCUCAGCUCGCUCUUUCUAUAAGGUUCUCACACAAGAGCCAGAGAUACAGUUUCCUUGGAGAAAGCUUUGGCGUCAUAAGGCUCCUCCCAAAGCCUCUUUCUUUGUGUGGACAGCAUCUUUGGGUAAGAUCCUCACUACGGAUAAUCUAAGAAAGAGGAGGAUAAUUAUUGCAGAUUGGUGUUGUAUGUGUAAAAGCGGGGGUGAGUCGGUAAAUCAUUUACUUUUACACUGUGAGAUAGCUAAGGCUAUUUGGGACGCGGUGUUUAAAAGGAUGGAUAUGGCAUGGGUGAUGCCGGAAACAGUUUUGGAUGUAUUGGCUUGCUGAAAUUCUAUCCGUGGGGUGAGACAGAUUAAAGCAGUGUGGAAGAUGAUCCCUAUCUGUAUUAUGUGGUGUCUAUGGCAGGAACGAAAUGAGAGGACUUUUGAAGACAGAGAGAUCUGUGGAGGAGCUAAUAUUGUUAUUUUUUAGAACUCUUUGUACUUGGGCCAUUGCUGUAGACUUAAAUGGCAUGGACCUUCAUGAAUUCCUAGUUUCUAACAUGCCUACAUAAACAGGGCAUUUUCUUUGUAUCGUGUUACUUUGGUGAUUUAAUAAAGUCUUAUUUUACUUAUCAAAAAAAAAAUUUUUUUGAGCAAGAGAUUUAUCCAUGGCUUCC